rnacentral:tRNA from 1 species
GGAGAGGUGGCAGAGUUGGUUGAAUGCGACGGCCUCGAAAGUCGUUGUUUCGUUUUGGCGGAACCAAGGGUUCGAAUCUCUUCCUCUCCGCCA